GUUUUCUCGGAAAGAGGUGGAGCGGUUAGUCCAAAAGGCCAUCCUGAAAUUAACCCUAGAAUGGUAAUCUAACCAUGAUCCGAGGUAAAAUCAUUUAGGCGGGAAAUUCCCCAAAUUAUACCAUCUUUUUGCAAUCCCCCCCAUCCCUGUCGACUAUCCUUCACUUGUCUCUGAAGAAAUGGCCGGUGGUUAUCGGACAAAUUCGCCGGCGGCGAAGAAGACAGCCGUGGACGAAAAAGUGCCGGAUAAAGAUUAUAUCGGUGAAGACUCGGUGAUCUUUGUGGAUGAUUCGUCUUUGGAAUCGGAAAUCGCGCAGCUUCGUGGACGAUGGGAACUGGCGUCUGUUUUCAAUUUCUUGAGCGUUUUCGAGCCACUUAUUGGUAGUGAUUUGAAAUUGACAGCAGAGGAGAUCGAGACUGGUCUUGUUACGUCCAACGGUUCGCUUGCUCAACUUCACAUUAAGUUAUUGAAGGGGAUACCACCUGUGAGUAAAACAUUGAAUGGCUCUGAUGCAUGGGUGACUGUACUUUGUAAGAAAAUUGCUAUAUGGUGGCCAUGGGUUGCUGAAGGCGAGAUGCCCUUGACUGUAGCCAAUGGAAAGGAGAUAUCCAGAUACAAGGAACUAGAUCCAACAGAUCGUUUACGAAUUCUGAAAGCGCUUUGCGAAAUCCGUGCUGAUCAAGAUGAUGCUGUGUCAUAUAUUAAUGAGACUUUGAAAAAUGGAACUGAAAUUUCCUGUUUCCGCAAAGAUAAGAUU
rnacentral:misc_RNA from 1 species